ensembl:miRNA
GUGCUUCCUGCGGGCUGAGCGCGGGCUGAGCGCUGCCCGAGCGCUGCCCGUCAGCGCUCAGAUUAAGGCUGACAGCGCCCUGCCUGGCGCGGCCGGCG